GGCCUGAUGGUCUAGUAGUAUGAUUCACCCUUAGGGUGGGUGAGGUCCCGGGUUCAAUUCCCGGUCAAGCCC
rnacentral:tRNA from 1 species